rnacentral:rRNA from 1 species
GGGGAAUAUUGGACAAUGGGCGCAAGCCUGAUCCAGCCAUGCCGCGUGAGUGAUGAAGGCCUUAGGGUUGUAAAGCUCUUUCGCCGGUGAAGAUAAUGACGGUAACCGGAGAAGAAGCCCCGGCUAACUUCGUGCCAGCAGCCGCGGUAAUACGAAGGGGGCUAGCGUUGCUCGGAAUCACUGGGCGUAAAGCGCACGUAGGCGGGUUGUUAAGUCAGAGGUGAAAUCCUGGAGCUCAACUCCAGAACUGCCUUUGAUACUGGCGACCUUGAGUUCGAGAGAGGUUGGUGGAACUGCGAGUGUAGAGGUGAAAUUCGUAGAUAUUCGCAAGAACACCAGUGGCGAAGGCGGCCAACUGGCUCGAUACUGACGCUGAGGGGCGAAAGCGUGGGGAGCAAAC